rnacentral:tRNA from 1 species
UAGCUCAGUUGGUAGAGCAUGGUGUUUGCAACGCCAGGGUUGUGGGUUCGCUUCCCAU